AAGAGGGUAAGUUAAAUUAAACUAUUAUCGUUCAAAGAUAAAUAUACUUUUUAAGUUCCUCUUG
rnacentral:tRNA from 1 species